rnacentral:lncRNA from 1 species
UUCUCCUUCCUGCCACCAUGUGAAAAAGGACAUGUUUGCUUCUCCUUCUGCCAUGAUUUUCCCCUAUAUUCUCACCAGUAACUAAAAGCAUAGUGUCCAGAAUGAAUCUAAGUAGAAGAAGGGAAGACGAGAAGGACACAAGAAGGAAGACAAGGAAAAAUGUCGACCUCAAAGAACUAGAGGAACAACACUGGAGUUAUACGAAACACCCAGAAUUAGAAUCAGAGCAAUUUGAUUGGAUUUACUACAGCUGAUUCUAGAUACAAGAACUUUACCGAGCCAUUUACAAUUUUUGUGCUUCAAUUUCAUCAUUUUAAAACAGAAAGAAAGCAUUUACCUUAUACGCUUGUUGCUUAGAUUAUAAAGGAAUUAUCUAUAUAAAAAGUACAAUAAAGAAGAAUAUAAAUGUAAGAAUGUAGAGGGUCACAAACAUUGUUUGAAAUAUCCAUGCUUUUCAUUUUGGAGUGAAAAGAGGAAAAAUACUAACUGUAAAAUUAAAUUCAU